rnacentral:rRNA from 1 species
UACGGGGGGGGCAAGCGUUGUUCGGAAUUACUGGGCGUAAAGGGCUCGUAGGUGGCCAACUAAGUCAGACGUGAAAUCCCUCGGCUUAACCGGGGAACUGCAUCUGAUACUGGAUGGCUUGAGUUUGGGAGAGGGAUGCGGAAUUCCAGGUGUAGCGGUGAAAUGCGCAGAUAUCAGGAGGAACACCGAUGGCGAAGGCAGGUCUCUGGGCAUUAACUGACGCUGAGGAGCGAAAGCCAGGGGAGCAAACGGG